GCCUCCGUGGCGCAAUCGGCUAGCGCGUUCGGCUGUUAACCGAAGGUUGGUGGUUCGAGCCCACCCGGGGGAG
rnacentral:tRNA from 1 species